rnacentral:tRNA from 1 species
GCGGGCGUCGUAUAGUGGUAAUACGCUAGCUUGCCAAGCUAGUGACGGCGGUUCGAUUCCGCUCGCCCGCUCCA